rnacentral:misc_RNA from 1 species
AAGUCGUAACAAGGUUUCCGUAGGUGAACCUGCGGAAGGAUCAUUAGAGAGAGUGCAGAGGCGGUAGAGGUGCUGUAGAGGUAUCCUGCUUGCUUUUGUGGCUGCUAACUUAGUAAAUGUGAACUGUUGUAAAUGACAGGUGGUGUGCGUGUAGUAGGGUCUGCCUCAGGGCUACCUCAGCGCACACCCCCCCCCUUUGUAUGCUUACCCUGUAUGUCUACACUAAACACAAACCAAUAGAGGUAGCACAACCUAUGAGUUGAACUUGCAAAACUUUUAGCAAUGGAUCUCUAGGCUCUU